ensembl:snRNA U2 U2 spliceosomal RNA
AUCGUUUCUCGGCUCCUCGGAGCUCAGAUCAAGUGUAGUAUCUGUUCUUAUCAGUUUAAUAUCUGGUAGGUCCUUUACAUUAAAGGACUGUAUAUUAAAUGGAUUUUUGAAACAGGGGGAUGGAAGAGGAGCUUGCUCGGUCCACCCUAUGCAUCAACCUGGUAUUGCAGUGUCUCCAGGACCGGUGCGUCUCCU